CCACCCCGUCAGCUAGCUUAUCAGACUGGUGUUGGCGGUCACAUUUCCAUGGCAACAGCGGUCUGUAAGCUGGCUGAAGCUGUGGGCCU
rnacentral:pre_miRNA from 1 species